UGGAGUUUGUCAUCUGUGGCUGCCCACUGAGACGGGACAGCACCGAUACCAGAAUCGGAGGCAUCAACCUCCACUACAAACUGGCGGUCCGGAUCAGGUUGGAGUAAGAUCGGGGCCAUGGAGAACCGGUGUUUGAGAGUACAAAAUGAUUC